GUGCUUGCUUUGGCUGUACAUAUACUGAAAUUGGAACAGUAACAGAGAAGAUUAGCAUGGCCUCUGCACAAGGAUGAAAUGCAAAUUCAUGAAGAAUUCCAUAUUUAA
rnacentral:snRNA from 1 species